rnacentral:rRNA from 1 species
UGGGGAAUAUUGGGCAAUGGGCGAAAGCCUGACCCAGCAACGCCGCGUGAGGGAAGAAGGUUUUCGGAUUGUAAACCUCUGUCCUUGGGGAAGAAAAAAAUGACGGUACCCAAGGAGGAAGCCCCGGCUAACUACGUGCCAGCAGCCGCGGUAAUACGUAGGGGGCGAGCGUUGUCCGGAAUUACUGGGCGUAAAGGGUGCGUAGGCGGUUGCCUAAGUCAGAUGUGAAAUCCCUGGGCUUAACUCGGGUGGUGCAUUUGAAACUGGGUUACUAGAGUGCAGGAGAGGGAAGCGGAAUUCCUAGUGUAGCGGUGAAAUGCGUAGAUAUUAGGAGGAACACCAGUGGCGAAGGCGGCUUUCUGGACUGUAACUGACGCUGAGGCACGAAAGCGUGGGGAGCAAACA